GAGCAAAAGGAAAAACUCCAAACCAAACAAACAAAAAAGGAAAAGUGUUGGGACUUUCUAGAGGCUGAGGCCCAAGACCUUCGAAUUGGGUCUAAGAUGCUCUGAAGUCCAGGGAUCUGCAGUGGAAGGGAUUUGAGAUUCCCACCCGACGUGGCAUCUCUGUCGUCUCCUUUUUGGGUGUCCCAGGAACCGCGUUUUGCAUGUAUUGGCACAAAGCUGACCCAAAUGUAUGGGAAUUCUCCUACUCUGACACCCUGCUGUGGAUUUCCCGCCUCGUCCCACUGCGUCUGCAUUAGCCGUGCCUUCCACCAGACGAGAGAGCUCCUGCCUGAUGGACUUGCCUGCAGUUCCCUGGGUGAACCCCAACAGCAGCAAGAAGGGGAGGCGAAUCCACAGCUUGCUGUUCACAGGUUUAAGAACUAUUUGGCCUAAGAGGGAUUCAAAGUGCCCACAGGGCAUACUUUCCUCUUUGUAGUUUUCACCCAUAGCAGAGGGCUCCUGCCUCAGUUUCCCUAGCUGCACACUCAGGAGCCAGCUCAUUGGGCUAGUUUCUGAACUCUUGUCUAUGUAGGGGUUAUAAUCCUACCACCAGGACAAGUCUUUGCACAGAUAUCGUGUCACACCCCCACUCCCUGGGCAUCUUUCACAGUUUAGGCUGGGCCUUUCCAUACAAGGUAGGCCUGAGCAGAGUCUUCUCAGUCUACGACUAGGCCAGUCUCCCAGUACCCAUCCUGUCGUCCUGUCUGACCCAUUUCCCUCCCUCCUCAUCUGUUCACCCAGAAAGCAAUGUGAUUCCCAGUCAAGGCACCCCAAAGAACAGCUAGUCUUUGUCGCUGGAGCAUCCCAGGGGGGCUCCAGUGUCUACUGUCGCUGGGAUGAAGUGCCAGAGUAGGGCUUGGGACACUGUCCCCAGAUCAGGGAAGACAACCCCCAAAGUUUCAUUCCACCCCUCUGCUCUCUGGAUCCAGACUGACUUCCUGUCUGUUUGAAGUGUAGGUUCCCACUGUCCGUGACUUUGACACUUUGGUAGAUGACACAACUCUGCUUUCUAAGGAAGAGAGUAACUGAGAACAGUCUCCAUCCCUUCUCCCCAUGACCUUUUUUAAAUUAUAGGAGCACAAAGGCAGGUUUGAACUUCUGAGAGGUAAGCCCAGUUCUACUCUAGAUGGAGAGAGACCUGGGCAAAGGAUGAGGCUUAGUGGAACACUGCAUCAAAUGGGUCUCAGCAUCCUCGACAUUCCACCUGGAGACUGGGGUGGAGUAAUAAGAUCCUGGUGGAUGGCACCAUUGCUUGAGGCCUCCCUCCCCAUCUUUCUAAAUAAAAGGUUUUUGGGGGGCCCCUGGGUGGCUCA
ensembl:lncRNA